GACGAACGCUGGCGGCGUGCUUAACACAUGCAAGUCGAACGGUAAGGCCCUUCGGGGUACACGAGUGGCGAACGGGUGAGUAACACGUGGGUGAUCUGCCCUGCACUUCGGGAUAAGCCUGGGAAACUGGGUCUAAUACCGGAUAGGACUCCGGACUGCAUGGUCUGGGGUGGAAAGCUUUUGCGGUGUGGGAUGGGCCCGCGGCCUAUCAGCUUGUUGGUGGGGUGAUGGCCUACCAAGGCGACGACGGGUAGCAGGCCGGGGCGGGUGACCGGCCAGACUGUGACUGAGGUACAGCCAAGAGUCCUACGGGAGUCAGGAGUGGGGAAUAUUGCACAAUGGGCGCAAGCCGGAUGCAGCGACGCCGCGUGGGGGAUGACGGCCUUCGGGUUGUAAACCUCUUUCAGCAUCGACGAAGCGAAAGUGACGGUAGGUGCAGAAGAAGGACCGGCCAACUACGUGCCAGCCGCCGCGGUAA
rnacentral:rRNA from 1 species